GCAAUCGAGAAUCCUCCGCAAUGGGCGAAAGCCUGACGGGGUGACGCCGCGUGACCGAUGAAGGCUCUUACGGGUCGUAAAGGUCUUACAGGGAGUAUGAAAUAUACUGGGGCUAAUAUCUCCAGUAUUUGACGUCAAUCUCAAAUGAAGUCACGGCUAAAUUUGUGCCAGCAGCCGCGGUAAGACAAAUGUGGCAAGCGUUGUUCGGAAUCACUGGGCAUAAAGGGCACGUAGGCGGCGUAGUAAGUUAACUGGGAAAUCCCCCGGCUCAACCGGGGAACUGCAGUUAAUACUGCUGUGCUAGAGUGCAGAAGAGGAGAGUGGAAUUCUAGGUGUAGCGGUGGAAUGCGAAGAAAUCUAGGAGAAGGCCGGUGGCGAAAGCGACUCUCUGGUCUGUUACUGACGCUGAGGUGCGAGAGCGCAGGUAGCGAACGGGAUUAGAUACCCCGGUAGUCUGUGCCGUAAACGAUGGGCACUAGAUGGUGGAGGCGCCGAUAGCUUUCUCCGUCGCAGCUAAUACGUUAAGUGCCCCGCCUGGGGAGUAUGGCCGCAAGGUUAAAACUCAAAGGAAUUGACGGGGGCCCACACAAGCGGUGGAGGAUGUGGCUUAAUUCGAGGAUACCCGUAAAACCUCACCGAGGCUUGACAUGCAGGUGGUAGUGAAGUGAAAGCGGAACGACCCGAAUAGGGAGCCUGCACAGGUGCUGCAUGGCUGUCGACAGCUCGUGUCGUGAGAUGUUAGGUUAAGUCCUGUAACGAGCGAAACCCUUGUGCUUAAUUGCCAGCGCGUUAUGGCGGGGACCUUAAGCAGACUGCCCCGGCCAACGGGGAGGAAGGUGGGGAUGACGUCAAGUCAGCAUGGCCUUUAUGCCUCGGGCUGCACACGUCCUACAAUGGGCUGUACAAUGGGGACCCAAACCGCAAGGUGGAGGAAAUCCUAUAAAGCAGUCCUCAGUUCGGAUUGCAGGCUGAAAUUCGCCUGCAUGAAGAUGGAAUCGCUAGUAAUCGCCGGUCAGCAUACGGCGGUGAAUACGUCCCUGGGCCUUGACACACCGCCCGUCAAGCCACCCGAGUUGGAGCACCCGAAUCCG
rnacentral:rRNA from 1 species